GAUGAACGCUGGCGGCGUGCCUAAUACAUGCAAGUCGAGCGAACAGAUAAGGAGCUUGCUCCUUUGACGUUAGCGGCGGACGGGUGAGUAACACGUGGGUAACCUACCUAUAAGACUGGGAUAACUUCGGGAAACCGGAGCUAAUACCGGAUAACAUUUGGAACCGCAUGGUUCUAAAGUGAAAGAUGGUUUUGCUAUCACUUAUAGAUGGACCCGCGCCGUAUUAGCUAGUUGGUAAGGUAACGGCUUACCAAGGCGACGAUACGUAGCCGACCUGAGAGGGUGAUCGGCCACACGGGAACAGAGACACGGUCCAGACUCCUACGGAGGGCAGCAGUAGGGAAUCUUCCGCAAUGGGCGAAAGCCUGACGGAGCAACGCCGCGUGAGUGAUGAAGGGUUUCGGCUCGUAGAACUCUGUUAUUAGGGAAGAACAAACGUGUAAGUAACUGUGCACGUCAUGACGGUACCUAAUCAGAAAGCCACGGCUAACUACGUG
rnacentral:rRNA from 1 species